CUCCAGCCUGGGCGCUAGAGCAAGACUCCGUCUCAAAAAAAUAAUAAUAAUAAAAUAAAUAAAUAAUAAAAACAUCAGCCAAGUGUGGUGGCACACCUGUGGUCCCAGCUCUUCGGGAUGCUGAGGUGGGAGGCUUGAGCCCAGGAGGUUGAAGCUGCAGUGAACUGUGAUUGUGCACAGCACUCCAGCUUGGGCAACAGAAUGAGACCCUGUCUCAAAAAAAAAAGAAAGAAAAAGGAAAAAGUCUGGACAGUCAAUCAGAAAUAUUGUUGUCUCUCUCUAGCGUGGGCAAGGCACUGUUGUGAUUGAGAUCCUCAGCAAAACAGACACCUCUCUCCUUGAGCCUGACAUUCUAGGCAGUGGAUAAACAAGUAAGUUACCUAGUAUGGAGCACAGCAGCACGUGUGAGAGAGCGCAGAGCAGGCACGGGUUUCAUCAGCACUCUGGGUGUGAAGAGUGCUGCUUGGGCAGAGGCCUGGGUGGGCACGUUCACACAGAUUUCUGGGGAAGAGCACUGCUUGGGCCUGAGGCCUGAGUGCAUGGCGUGCCUGGAGCAGAGCGUAGAGAUGCUUCUCCUACAUGGCAGCAGCUGAGGGGAUGACAAGGGCCUUGUGGCCUUGGGCUUUCAGAGGAUCACCAGGCAGCUAUGUUUGGAACUCACUGAAAUGGGGCAAGGAGAAGCUGGGAAAGCCGCCUGGAGGCUCUCAGCAGUAAUACAGGCAAGAGGUAGUGCAGCCUUGGGUGAGGAUGGGCCUUGGCGCUGAUGGUGGUUGGGUUUUGGACAUGUUUUGAAAUAAGAGGCAACUGCAUUUUCCCUGGAGUUGGAUAUGAGGUGAGUAGAGCCAAGGACAGCUUCAUGAUUUUUGAUCUGAACAGCAAAAAGGCCGGAAUUGCUGUUUGUUGAGAUGCGGAAUGUGGCUGGGGAGAUGUUUGGGAACAGGAGGGGAAGAAGAUGAAGAGAGCAAGCUGGAAUGUGCUGAGUUUGAAGUCCCUUUAAACACUGAGUGGCAACGUCUAGUGGGCAGUUGGAUAAACGUGAGGGGUUCGGCCAGGCGCAGUGGCUCACUCCUGUAAUCCCAGCAC
rnacentral:lncRNA from 10 species